rnacentral:rRNA from 1 species
UACGUAGGGUGCAAGCGUUAAUCGGAAUUACUGGGCGUAAAGCGUGCGCAGGCGGCUUUGCAAGACAGAUGUGAAAUCCCCGGGCUCAACCUGGGAACUGCCUUUGUGACUGCAUAGCUAGAGUACGGCAGAGGGGGAUGGAAUUCCGCGUGUAGCAGUGAAAUGCGUAGAUAUGCGGAGGAACACCGAUGGCGAAGGCAAUCCCCUGGGCCUGUACUGACGCUCAUGCACGAAAGCGUGGGGAGCAAACAGG